UGUGUGUUAGUGGAAGCGUCUGGAAAGGCGCGCGAUACAGGGUGACAGCCCCGUACACAAAAAUGCACAUGCUGUGAGCUCGAUGAGUAGGGCGGGACACGUGGUAUCCUGUCUGAAUAUGGGGGGACCAUCCUCCAAGGCUAAAUACUCCUGACUGACCGAUAGUGAACCAGUACCGUGAGGGAAAGGCGAAAAGAACCCCGGCGAGGGGAGUGAAAAAGAACCUGAAACCGUGUACGUACAAGCAGUGGGAGCACGCUUAGGCGUGUGACUGCGUACCUUUUGUAUAAUGGGUCAGCGACUUAUAUUCUGUAGCAAGGUUAACCGAAUAGGGGAGCCGAAGGGAAACCGAGUCUUAACUGGGCGUUAAGUUGCAGGGUAUAGACCCGAAACCCGGUGAUCUAGCCAUGGGCAGGUUGAAGGUUGGGUAACACUAACUGGAGGACCGAACCGACUAAUGUUGAAAAAUUAGCGGAUGACUUGUGGCUGGGGGUGAAAGGCCAAUCAAACCGGGAGAUAGCUGGUUCUCCCCGAAAGCUAUUUAGGUAGCGCCUCGUGAAUUCAUCUCCGGGGGUAGAGCACUGUUUCGGCAAGGGGGUCAUCCCGACUUACCAACCCGAUGCAAACUGCGAAUACCGGAGAAUGUUAUCACGGGAGACACACGGCGGGUGCUAACGUCCGUCGUGAAGAGGGAAACAACCCAGACCGCCAGCUAAGGUCCCAAAGUCAUGGUUAAGUGGGAAACGAUGUGGGAAGGCCCAGACAGCCAGGAUGUUGGCUUAGAAGCAGCCAUCAUUUAAAGAAAGCGUAAUAGCUCACUGGUCGAGUCGGCCUGCGCGGAAGAUGUAACGGGGCUAAACCAUGCACCGAAGCUGCGGCAGCGACGCUUAUGCGUUGUUGGGUAGGGGAGCGUUCUGUAAGCCUG
rnacentral:rRNA from 1 species